rnacentral:rRNA from 1 species
CAUAAUGCUAAGAUUUAAAAGAUAGAUUACGCAGUAUUUAUUAUUAUACAAUGAAUGAAAGUUUGAUAUAGUUAAUGUAAAUAAGAGUGGUUAAAUUGGUGCCAGCAUCUGCGGUUAUACCAAUACUUUAAAUUUAUAUAGACAAUAGUAUAAAAUAAAGUAGUAGUAAUAAUAUAGAUUAGGAUUAAUGAGGAUAAUAAUUGUAAGUAAAAUUUAAUUGUUAUAAUUAAUUAUAGAAUCCUAAUAGUUAGAAUCUUUGAAAAUAAGAAGGAAAACUAGGAUUAGAGACCCUACUAUUCUUUAUUUUAAAAAUUUAUUUACUUGAGGAGUAAGAGUGUAUAGAAUAUAAAUUAUUUAUACUUGAAACUUAAAAGGCUUGGCGGUGUUAUAUAUCCUUCCAGGGGAGCUUGCUUAUUAAUUUGAUAAUCCUCAAUUUAUACUUACUUUUUUUGGAUAAACAGUUUGUGUAUUGCUGUCGUCAGUUUAUUUUGUAAAAAGAUUAGAAAAAACUUUAUAAUAAUUAGAUUAUGAUGUCAAGUCAAAAUGCAGCUUAUAAAAAAGGUUUAUAAAGUGAGCUACGAUUUAUAAUAUUUAAACCAAUUAAAUUGUGUAAUUAAUUUAUGAAGUUGGACUUGGUAGUAACAAGGUAUUUAAAUAGUGAGUCCUUGUGAAUUAGGUUUUGUGACGCGUACAUA